rnacentral:rRNA from 1 species
UACGGGGGGGGCAAGCGUUGUUCGGAAUUACUGGGCGUAAAGGGCUCGUAGGCGGCCAACUAAGUCAUACGUGAAAUCCCUCGGCUUAACCGGGGAACUGCGUCUGAUACUGGAUGGCUUGAGUUCGGGAGAGGGAUGCGGAAUUCCAGGUGUAGCGGUGAAAUGCGCAGAUAUCAGGAGGAACACCGGUGGCGAAGGCGGGUCUCUGGGCCGAUACUGACACUGAGGAGCGAAAGCGUGGGGAGCGAACAGG